UACGUAGGGGGCGAGCGUUGUCCGGAUUUAUUGGGCGUAAAAGGCUUGUAGGUGGCCACGUCAAGUCGGAUGUGAAAUCUCCCGGCUCAACUGGGAGGGGUCAUUCGAUACUGGCGGGCUCGAGGCCGGUAGGGGGAAGCGGAAUUCCCGGUGUAGUGGUGGAAUGCGUAGAUAUCAAGCGGAACACCAGUGGCGAAGGCGAGUCCCUGGACAACUCCUGACACUGAGGCACGAAAGCUAGGGGAGCAAACAGG
rnacentral:rRNA from 1 species